GACGAACGCUGGCGGCGUGCUUAACACAUGCAAGUCGAACGGAAAGGCCCUGCUUUUGUGGGGGGCUCGAGUGGCGAACGGGGGUGUAUCACGUGAGUAACCUCCCCUUGACUUUGUGAGAACUUCAGGGAAAUGGGGCGAUAAUACGGUAUAAGCUCCUGUUGCAUGGUGGGGGUUGGAAAAUUUCGGCGGUUGGGGAUGGACUCGGGGCUUAUCAGCUUGUUUGUGGGGUAGGGGCUUACCAAGGCUUUGACGGGUAGCCGGCCUGGGAGGGUGACCGGCGACAUUGGGACUGAGAGACGGCGCAGACUGCUACGGGCGGCAGCAGUGGGGAAUAUUGCACAAUGGGCGGAAGCGUGAUGCAGCAACUCCGCGUGCGGGAUGACGGCCUUCGGGUUGUAAACCGCUUUCGCCUGUGACGAAGCGGGAGUGACGGUAAUGGGUAAAGAAGCACCGGCUAACUACGUG
rnacentral:rRNA from 1 species